rnacentral:lncRNA from 1 species
GGGGAGAGCUGGAAUCAAUUUGGUCAAAUUAUACCGAGCAUUACAUGUGUAAAACUCCUGGUUACACUUUAAGGAAGGAGCAGAGAAGAACAUCCUGAACUCAGACCCCAGUUCAGAAUGCAGAGAGCUCCAUAAACGGUUCUCCUCAGUCAAGUCAUCUCAGCGAGAGGGUGGGUCUGAAAUUCCCAACUGCAAAUGCUUCUCUCUAGGGAAUACCCAUUUAUCCUAACAGGGGGUCUUGGUCCCGUGCCAACUGGAGGAAAGGUGGACAUAGCAACCAGUUACCAUGCCAGCAGUUUAUCCCUGCAAGUCAGACCCCUUCUCACAUAUUCUUUCUCAUUUUCUCUUCUGCCAUUGAUUUUUUUCUUCUGCCAUUUUAUCCUGCAAGCAAGCAUAUCCUGCUUUAUGACCUGAUGCUAUGAAGCUUGGCCCCCAUGGGCUUCCAUACUUCUCUGCCCAUUGUACCUGACCCUGGGGAUCCCAACUUCAUUCCCCUGAAAGGAGCUGGGAGAGCAUGCAUCUAGAUGGUGACCUGGAUUUCUGGAACCAGAAGAGAGCUGGUGUGGAGGGCAGAUCUGUUCUCUCAGGCUCUUCAGAAAGUGCGAAGCUCCUGAACCAAAUGUCGACAGCUUGUCUUCCUACUCAUCGUGAAAUAUGUGCUCAUGGACUCCCAUUCAUUUGUGCCACUCGAGACCUCUGCAAAACCCUAAUGGGGCUAGAUCUCAUUUCCGUUCUGAGUACCCGAUGGAUCUAUGCAAUUAAAAUUCCACUCAUCCUAAGCCAUUAAAAUAAAAAACGAGAAUCAAGACCUGCCAUGUAAAGGUACAUGAUCCCAACAAUGAAUGUAACUGUACUGUAUCCCUAAAAUGUACCAAUAAACUCAAUAAAAUUUAAAAAAAAAUAAGAUAGUGGGAC